rnacentral:misc_RNA from 1 species
GUGAGCCCCCCGCAGCUAAUAUUAAAGUUGGUUUCUAUCAUUGACGAUAGGACUAGGAGGAAGGGAUCGAGGUUUGAAGAGGUGUUUUUGAUUGAAGCAACAGAGUCAAAAUGGGAAGCAUAGCUCUGUUACUGCUCAAAGUACCAUCACCACCAAGGCAUCACUCAUUUUUCAACAACAGAAAAUUGAGCUCUGUUUCAGAGCUGCUCACUCAUUACAAUAGUUUUAAGACUCGAAAAUGCUCAACAAAAGCAACACAUGGGUCCUCUCUUCAACCCCCAAAUGUGUGUCGUUUGGCUAAAACUGCUUGAAUUUCAAUUACCCCAAAUGAGGUUGAAGAAUUCACCCCCAAAAUUCGACAAGUGAUUGACUGGUAUAUGCUUGUCUCUCAUUGUGGCCAUGUUUUUGUGAUUCUAUUUUAUUUUAUUUUUAGGGGUUGACUAUUGUUCGUUAUUUGCUAGGUUUGGACAACUUCAAGCAGUUUAUCAUAAUAGUGUUGAGCCUGCAAUCAGAGCAGGUUCUUUAUACUAAUCCCUCUUAUAUUUAUUCAAUAAUUUUUUGUUUGCUAGUAUAUAACACCUGAGGUUUGGGACUUUGAAUUGAAUAUGGAAAUGGGGUCGAACAUAGAAAAUUUUAUAAGAACGUACUUUGGCCAUUGAUAUGGUUUCAUAACAGGAAUGCCUGUAAUCACAUUGGUGGGUAUUAUUUUUUAGGCUGAUUAUUUAUUUUUUUUCUCGAAAGGAGAAAUUGUAUUAUUCAGAACCCUCCAAAGGGAGGUCAUGAAAAACAUGCAUGAACUGGGCCAUAGGAUAAACCCAAAGGAAUCACCAUAAAGAGUUUUAGUAGCCAGCAUGAGCAAAGUUGAAAAAUAAGGACACAAAAUUUCUAGCCAAGGCCUGAACAUCUUAAACAACAGGUUGAAUGGAUUGAGGAAUAGAAUCACCUGCACAGCUCUGAAUGACAGACUUAGAAUCGCCUUCCAUGAAGAAUCGCCUCCUGUGAUUAGUUGCUGAAACCUUUUGUCAUCUGCAAGGAUAACAGCUUCAUGACAUGCAAGACUUUCUGAAACAAAAUUUUAAAAGUCAUAUUUUUCAAAAUUCUUUCAUUUCAAUUUUUAAAGUAGUGAUUAUAAUUUGGCCAGUUAUUGAGAUACGUGUGGAAUUUUAUUUUAUUAAGUUAAGUUUUCUAAUGGAUAUUGAUAGAAAGUUUCUUUCCACUUAAUAAUAUAAGUUUUUCUAUGUUCAUCAGUAUUUUUUCUAGCAUAUCAAUCUCUAUAUUGCUUGAAUAAUCUUGCAAAGUUUGAUUGUUGAAUUUACAGAUACAGAAGGUGAGAACUUGCAUGAUGAUAUUCCUCAAACAUAUGAGAAUAGGGAAGCUGCAGUUGCUGCUAUUCCAAGCUAUGAAGAACCUUAUAUCAAGGUUCCCAAAGUUUUGAACAAGGAAUAAAUCCACUCUUUAGAUAAACUUGCUUCUUUCUUUAUGCAUGCAACUGCAGUUACGUUAUAGACAUUGUUGUCUCUUUCUUUCAACCGAGCAUGACCAACAUUUUAUUACGAGAAAUUAUUAGGUGAUUAUUAGGUGCACCCAAUACACAUAUACUAUCUCUCACAAUCAUGUGGGAUACACUAUCCAUAUUAUAGGGAGGAUCUAAUUUUUUGUGAAAGAGGAAGCAUUAUUUUUUAGAGCUUCCAGUAUAUCUAAUAAUUAGCCUUUUAUUACCAGUUUUAUUAUUCUUACAACACAAUUUGCAAAUUACCUCUUUA